AACACUGUUAACCUGCGGUACCUGCGGAAGGAUCAUUACAGAGUGUAAAAACUCCCAAAACCCAUGUGAACAUACCUUUUUGUUGCUUCGGCGGGAUCGCCCCGGGCGCCUUGUGUGCCCCGGAGUCAGGCGCCCGCCGGGGGACCCAAACUCUUGUUUUUAACGAGUAUCUUCUGAGUAACGUUUUUAAAUAAAUAAAAACUUUUAACAAUGGAUCU
rnacentral:misc_RNA from 1 species